UGAGCAAUCUGCCCUUCACAUCGGGAUAACCCCCGGAAACGGGAGCUAAUACCGGAUACGACCACUUCAGGCAUCUGAUGGUGGUGGAAAGUUCUGGCGGUGAAGGAUGAGCUCGCGGCCUAUCAGCUUGUUGGUGAGGUAAUGGCCCACCAAGGCUUCGACGGGUAGCCGGCCUGAGAGGGUGACCGGCCACACUGGGACUGAGACACGGCCCAGACUCCUACGGGAG
rnacentral:rRNA from 1 species